CACCAUAUUCUGGUCAUUAUCUGA
rnacentral:siRNA from 1 species